CAGUAGCGUAUAUUAAAGUUGUUGCAGUUAAAAGCUCGUAGUUGGAUUUCUGGCUUUCUGCGCCUGGCCCGCCCACGUUAGUGGUGUGAGUGUCGGUGCGCGGUUGCCAUCCUUCUAGAGAACGUGUCUACCUUUAAUUAGGCCGGAUUCGGGAUCUAGAUCAUUUACUUUGAAAAAUUAGAGUGUUUAAAGCAGGCUUUUUGCUAUGAAUACAUUAGCAUGGAAUAAUAAUAUAGGACUUUGGUUCUAUUUUGUUUGGUUUCUUAGGACUGAAGUAAUGAUUGAUAGGGAUAGUUGGGGGUGGCUAGUAUUCAGCGGCCAGAGGUGAAAUUACUUGGAUUCGCUGAAGACUAACUUAUGCGAAAGACAUUCACCAAGGAUGUCUUCUUUAAUUCAAGAACGAAAGUUAGGGGGUAGUCGAAGAUGAUCAGAUACCA
rnacentral:rRNA from 1 species